AGUGAACGCUGGCGGUAGGCCUAACACAUGCAAGUCGAACGGUAGCACAGGAGAGCUUGCUCUCUGGGCGGCGAGUGGCGGACGGGUGAGGAAUACAUCGGAAUCUACCUUUUCGUGGGGGAUAACGUAGGGAAACUCACGCUAAUACCGCAUACGACCUACGGGUGAAAGUGGGGGACCGCAAGGCCUCACGCGAUUAGAUGAGCCGAUGUCCGAUUAGCUAGUUGGCGGGGUAAUGGCCCACCAAGGCGACGAUCGGUAGCUGGUCUGAGAGGAUGAUCAGCCACACUGGAACUGAGACACGGUCCAGACUCCUACGGGAGGCAGCAGUGGGGAAUAUUGGACAAUGGGCGCAAGCCUGAUCCAGCCAUACCGCGUGGGUGAAGAAGGCCUUCGGGUUGUAAAGCCCUUUUGUUGGGAAAGAAAUCCUGUCGAUUAAUACUCGGUGGGGAUGACGGUACCCAAAGAAUAAGCACCGGCUAACUUCGUGCCAGCCGCCGCGGUAA
rnacentral:rRNA from 1 species